GACGAACGCUGGCGGCGCGCUUAACACAUGCAAGUCGAACGGAAAGGCCUGCUUUCCCUUGUGGAUUGCGGGUACUCGAGUGGCGAACGGGUGAGUAACACGUGAGUGAUCUGCCCCCAACUUGGGUAUAAGCCUGGGAAACUGGGUCUAAUUCCCGAUAGGACUGCAGGGUGGUGCCUGUGGUGGAAAACGAUUUUCUAGUGGUUGGGGAUGAGCUCGCGGCCUAUCAGCUUGUUGGUGGGGUAAUGGCCUACCAAGGCGGCGACGGGUAGCCGGCCUGGGAGGGUGGACGGCCACAUUGGGACUAAGAUACGGCCCAGACUCCUACGGGAGGCAGCAGUGGGGAAUAUUGCACAAUGGGCGGAAGCCUGAGGCAGCGACGCCGCGUGGGGGAUGACGGCCUUCGGGUUGUAAACUCCUUUCGACCGCGAGGAAGCCACCUGGUUGGAAGGGUGGUGACGGUAGUGGUAGAAGAAGCACCGGCUAACUACGUG
rnacentral:rRNA from 1 species